AUUGAACGCUGGCGGCAUGCCUUACACACGCAAGUCGAACGGCAGCACGGGUGCUUGCACCUGGUGGCGAGUGGCGAACGGGUGAGUAAUACAUCGGAACGUACCUUAUCGUGGGGGAUAACGCAGCGAAAGCUGUGCUAAUACCGCAUACGCCCUGAGGGGGAAAGCGGGGGAUCGAAAGACCUCGCGCGAUUAGAGCGGCCGAUGCCUGGUUAGCUUGUUGGUGGGGUAAAAGCCCACCAAGGCGACGAUCAGUAGCUGGUCUGAGAGGUCGAUCAGCCACACGGGGACUGAGACACGGCCCAGAGUCCUACGGGAGGCAGCAGUGGGGAAUUUUGGACAGUGGGGGCAACCCUGAUCCAGCAAUGCCGCGUGAGUGAAGAAGGCCUUCGGGUUGUAAAGCUCUUUUGUCAGGGAAGAAACACCGGCUCUAACACAGUCCGGGAAUGACGGUACCUGAAGAAUAAGCACCGGCUAACUACGUGCCAGCCGCCGCAGUAA
rnacentral:rRNA from 1 species